AAGUAUGCUUUGUUUUUGUCACAUCCACCCUCGGACGCCGCCAGCCGCCAGGACCCAGAUCCUCCAGGAGCGGCUCCCGAGAAGGACAGGUCCCGGUGGUCCGGCCCCGAGCCACGUGCACGGCCCUGGCGCCGGCGGGACCGGAUCAGCCCGAGGUCCGGGCGCGGGUCCCAGGGACGGAGGGAACCACCGCGCAGUCUGCUUCUGGGUGGACCUCGCGGUCGCUCGCGGGAUGCCUGGGAAUCCCGGAGCCCGGGAUGGGCCCCCUCAGGCCUUCACUUCGGCCGCGGGGGCAGGUUAGGCUGGGGGGUUGGGUCGGAGGAGCUCAGGCGGGACGGUCGCCCGCACUGCGGAGAGCUGAGAUUUGGCAAGUUGGGGGGAAACCGAUGCACUAGGACCCCCGAUCUGACAGCUACAGAAUUGGCGAGAAUCCACCGUGCAAGGAACGGAUCACCCUAGCGUGUGAAGAUGGCUUGCCUCUCCAAAGAACAAUAUAUAAUUCACCUAUCUCCAAAGUCAGCCACGGAUUAAAACCCACCAAUCACGGCGGCAGCACACAAU